GGAAUUUUGGACAAUGGGCGAAAGCCUGAUCCAGCAAUGCCGCGUGAGUGAAGAAGGCCUUCGGGUUGUAAAGCUCUUUUGUCAGGGAAGAAACGGUAGGGGCUAAUAUCCCUUGCUAAUGACGGUACCUGAAGAAUAAGCACCGGCUAACUACGUGCCAGCAGCCGCGGUAAUACGUAGGGUGCAAGCGUUAAUCGGAAUUACUGGGCGUAAAGCGUGCGCAGGCGGUUGUGCAAGACAGAUGUGAAAUCCCCGGGCUCAACCUGGGAAUUGCAUUUGUGACUGCACGGCUAGAGUGUGUCAGAGGGGGGUAGAAUUCCACGUGUAGCAGUGAAAUGCGUAGAGAUGUGGAGGAAUACCGAUGGCGAAGGCAGCCCCCUGGGAUAACACUGACGCUCAUGCACGAAAGCGUGGGGAGCAAACAGGAUUAGAUACCCUUG
rnacentral:rRNA from 1 species